rnacentral:piRNA from 1 species
UGAUAUGUUAAUGGAUGACUCAGCU